ACGUCAUUGUAAUUGUGCUCAUUCUGCGAAUGGAGUGACGUGAGAAAAGUCGGAGUCGUAUAUCGAGGUGAGAAAUCUCGACUCGAAUGAGGUGACUCUCCAUUUGAUUUACACGGCGAGUCACUUCAUUCGAGAGUGGAUUCCUCAUCUCGAUAUACGACUCCGACUUUUCUCACGUCACUCCAUUCGCAGAAUGAGCACAAAUGUGGUCAUUCUGCACGGCGAAUGACUCGAGUCGACUAUUCUCACCUCGUCGUCACAUGACUCUUCUCACUCGAUUCCGGUUGUCGACUCAAAUGAGGUGAGAGCUUCAUUUUCGAUGUGAGAAAUGGAAUGAACCAAAACAAACGAAUGUUCAUUCGCACAUCUGUCAACUGGAUAGAGUUUCACGACUGCACUCGGAUUAUGGCGUACUCAUUAAACAACAAAAUAAGUAUUUCAUUUUAAUCUCAAAUAUUUCCAUUUUUAUUCAAUGAAAUACAAAGUUACCUACCAGAAAAAUCUAAAUAAAAUUAUUUUCAAACAAUGAGCAAACGUUUUAUUUAGUUAUGGGUAUUUUACUUGAUUAUUUAUAUCCAAAAUUUGUUUUCGCAUCUCGCCCUGAUCUCAACAACGGUGGGUGUUUGUUUUGAGUUUUUUUUUUGCACACGUAAACGGUGGUUGUGAUCUAGGAUGUUGUGAUGGAUAUUUACCUGUCCCGGAACGAACUCCGGGAAACAUUUUCCUUCAACUGGAUGUCCAUCCAUAUAGGAAAGACUGAAAAAUCAUCAACCUUAUCCAGAUGAAAAUGACUGAGUGCUUUGCUCAGGUGAAUGGUUUCGGACCGGGACCGUAUUCAGGAGAUAGCGGAAAAGAUCCGGCAGGAGAAUCAUUUAGAAAGCUGCGUUACCAUCGGAGUUGUAGCCCUGGAAUUAGGAAGAGCAAAUAGAUUGGCAGCAGUAUUUCAAGUUCAGCCAAUCAAUCAUAUCGAUAUUGUGGAUGUGACCGAGCUCCAUUUUGGCCGAAUGAUUCCGAUUGAGGCGAUAAGAUGUACCAGAUUUCCGAACUGUCGCGGAUACAUAUAGGGUAUUAUCAGCAGGUUUGUUCUAUUCUUCAUGGGUGGUUUGUAAUGGCCAAAUUGCCUGCCAUGUUAGUCAGCUAAGUUGGGAAGUAUUUGAUAUCAACUAUGAGUUCCACACAAAAAUCCCUCCAUGUCGAACAGAACAAAGCUUCCGAUAAUACCUACACAAGUUCCUCCAUAUGUGUAUAUGUGGUGCUAAAUCCACAAUAUAAACUUUCUUCGAAAGCGCUGAUUCCCUGUAAA